rnacentral:rRNA from 1 species
GACGAACGCUGGCGGCGUGCUUAACACAUGCAAGUCGAACGGAAAGGCCCUGCUUUUGUGGGGUGCUCGAGUGGCGAACGGGUGAGUAACACGUGAGUAACCUGCCCUUGACUUUGGGAUAACUUCAGGAAACUGGGGCUAAUACCGGAUAGGAGCUCCUGCUGCAUGGUGGGGGUUGGAAAGUUUCGGCGGUUGGGGAUGGACUCGCGGCUUAUCAGCUUGUUGGUGGGGUAGUGGCUUACCAAGGCUUUGACGGGUAGCCGGCCUGAGAGGGUGACCGGCCACAUUGGGACUGAGAUACGGCCCGGACUCCUACGGGAGGCAGCAGUGGGGAAUGUUGCACAAUGGGCGGAAGCCUGAUGCAGCAACGCCGCGUGCGGGAUGACGGCCUUCGGGUUGUAAACCGCUUUCGCCUGUGACGAAGCGUGAGUGACGGUAAUGGGUGAAGAAGCACCGGCUAACUACGUG